UACGAAGGGGGCUAGCGUUGUUCGGAAUUACUGGGCGUAAAGCGCACGUAGGCGGAUAUUUAAGUCAGGGGUGAAAUCCCAGAGCUCAACUCUGGAACUGCCAUUGAAACUGUGAGACUGGAGUACGAGAGAGGUGAGUGGAAUUCCCAGUGUAGAGGUGAAAUUCGUAGAUAUUAGGAAGAACACCAGUGGCGAAGGCGGCUCACUGGUCCGGUACUGACGCUGAGGUGCGAAAGCGUGGGGAGCAAACAGG
rnacentral:rRNA from 1 species